ACCCUCUCAGGAUCGCAACUGGAGAGUUUCCAGUACUCUACCAGUCUCGGCUGCGGGAGUGAGAGUCAAGCCGGGACAUAUCCAUUCCAUUCCUAGCUUGGGAAGUGGCUAGAGAGUGGAAGGCAAUCUGCUACCAGU